rnacentral:rRNA from 1 species
UACGUAGGGGGCGAGCGUUAUCCGGAUUCAUUGGGCGUAAAGCGCGCGUAGGCGGCCGCCCAAGCGGAACCUCUAACCCCGGGGCUCAACCUCGGGCCGGGUUCCGGACUGGGCGGCUCGAGUGCGGUAGAGGAGAGCGGAAUUCCCGGUGUAGCGGUGGAAUGCGCAGAUAUCGGGAAGAACACCGAUGGCGAAGGCAGCUCUCUGGGCCGUCACUGACGCUGAGGCGCGAAAGCUGGGGGAGCGAACAGG